rnacentral:lncRNA from 10 species
CGGCGGUGAGGAUGAGAGGCGCUGAAGACCAGAAGACCCAGGGCGUGAACGGGGCGUGUCAUCCCUGGAGUUUCAGUAGAAUUUCAGGCCUGUCUGCUUGAGCAGCAGAGGAGGAGUUUCUGUGUGCCUGUGAGAGACUGUGUGUGUGUGUGUGUGUGUGUGUGUGUGUGAGAUGAAUGAACAGGGUUGUGUACGUGUGUGUGCGUUAGACAAAUGAACAGUGUUGUGUACCUGUGUGAAUUGUCACUGUGACUCCAGGCUCUAGGCUCUGCAGAUUCCUCAGCCCUAUCGCCUCACAGACACUUGGGAUGUGCAGCAGGUAAAAGAGAGAAGCCAGAUUCAUGGAGGCGUGAAGGAUCCCAGCAAGAAAACACAGACUUGAUCUUGAGACGAGAUUUUUGAAAUUGGUUGCGGCCUCAAGGCAGGCUCUGAGAAGACUCGAUAAAGAGUUCUCAGGAAUAGGCAUCCCUCCUGGAUAUUUCCCCCUUGGAAGCGCCGAGGAGCCAGCUCUAUGUUUGUAACCAUAGCAUUUCUAAAGCUCCAGCCCCAGGAACCUGCUGUGAAUUAGAGACAGAUUCCACCCUAGGCAUCACUGAUCUUGGCCUCUCUUGUAUUGGGAAGGUCAACACUGUUCCAGUUUCUCUCCUACUCCCAUCUGGUUGUGCUCGGUGAAGUAGGUGAGCAGCUGUCUCAUGAUUGCCUUCUCUUUUCC